GGAGGGAUGGCAGAGCGGUUUAAUGCGCACGCUUGGAAAGCGUGUAAUCGUGAAUAACGAUUCGAGGGUUCAAAUCCCUCUUCCUCCACCA
rnacentral:tRNA from 1 species